rnacentral:misc_RNA from 1 species
UACGAAGGGGGCUAGCGUUGUUCGGAAUUACUGGGCGUAAAGCGCACGUAGGCGGUUAGCAUAGUCAGGUGUGAAAGCCCCGGGCUCAACCCGGGAACUGCACUUGAUACUGGCUGACUAGAGUUCGGGAGAGGAGAGUGGAAUUCCCAGUGUAGAGGUGAAAUUCGUAGAUAUUGGGAAGAACACCAGUGGCGAAGGCGGCUCUCUGGUCCGAUACUGACGCUGAGGUGCGAAAGCGUGGGGAGCAAACAGG